rnacentral:tRNA from 2 species
GCUCCGGUGGUGUAGCUCGGCCAAGCAUCAGAGGCUUUCGACCUCUAGACCCGGGUUCAAAUCCCGGCCGGAGCACCA